GCCCCGCGCGCCCAGCACCGCCCGCAGCCGCGCCCGCCCCUGACGACGCUUCCCGGGAGCGGAAGCCCGCGGCUCCCUGCAACCCCGGGCGGUCCCACCCUCGCCAGAACCCAGCACCUUUCCCUUGUCUCCAGAAGAGUGGUAUACUAGAAUGAGCAGUCUUUGGUGGCAGAUCCUGAUAUGCAAAUUCCAGUUCCAACACGUAUAGUUUUAUGACCCUGGAAAGUUACGUAACAGUUUGAACUUCAGAUUUCUCCUGCCUCCCUUGCCGGAUGUAAAGAUUGGGGAUGGAAGGACUCGCCUAUAGAAAGUACUCAGUAAAUGUGCCCACUUUUGGAAAUGUGUAAGUCCUGGAAUAUUAUGAGAUUAUGGCAUGAGGAGGAUCAUGGAGGCAGGGAAAUCUCUGAAAGACAAUGGGCUGCAGGAAAGUCCUUUUGAGGAAGGAACAUGGCUUACUGAAUUUUCCAAGCUGUCCUUGAAACUAAGAUUCUCCUGUCUCAGCCGCCCAGGUAGCCAGGAUUACAAGAUGUUAUUCCCAACAAAUUUACUGCAUUUUUAUCACUGUCUUGGUAUCUGCUUCCUGGAGGACCUGAACUGACACAGCCAUCCAGAGGGGGAGAAUUUGUGGAUUUGUAAUGUGCUCUGCCUAGAACUAGGAAGAGAAGCCCUGGUCAGGGUGGGUGAGAGGAUGUCUACGAUGAGUUAUCAGUGCCACUUCCUUCUUUGUCUGUUUUCCUCUAAAAUAGCACUUUUAAAGUGCCUUACGAUCAGUAUAUGCAAACUUGAGAAUUGAAAUAAGCUAAAAUUAAAGCGUCUAAUUGAGCAAGACCAUCAGGAACAUAAAAAAUGUGUAGUUCAGUAAAUUAGUUUUUGUGACUUUAUACUGCUCUGGGUAGAGAGCACAAUCCAAGCUGUGGAAAACUUGGCAUGUUAUGCCUUGGGUUUUCACUGUUUUAUUAGGCUCAGGCAAUAAGGUUUAAGGAAAUGACUGUCACAACCAGCUGCCAAAUGAGUUUCACUGUUGCGCUUUAUUGCCAACACCCCAAAUCAUCCCUGAAGCCCCAGAGGGCAUGAAGAAAAGGAGAUAAAAGGCAAAAUACUGCAGGGCAAGGUAGGAAUCCUCUGGGGCAGGCAACCAGUGCACUGACAGAAAGUAGUUUUAUUGAUGAAACCAUGCAAUACAGAGACAUUUCUAUGUCGUGUUUGUUGAGUCCUUUGCUCCAGGAGCUGGGGUUAGGGAGGUAGGAUACCUCAAUCCAAUGUAAGGUGUAAUCAGGUAAAAUCAACAUUGAAAAGUUUAUCCAUCACCUGGAUUCUGGGUUCCUAAAUUUAGUCAAGACAACCUGGCCUUGGUAGUCAUUCAUUCUACAAAGCGUAUACAGAUAUAAAUUUUCAGCCAGACGUGGUGGCACACGCCUAUAAUCCCAGCAUUCGG